CCAUAUCACGAUACCACGGUGAACACAGAAUGCCAUCAGAUUUCAGAAGCUAAGCAGGGUUGGGCCUGGCAGCUUCUUGGAUGGGAGACCACCAGAAAUCUUCAGAUGGGGGGC
rnacentral:rRNA from 1 species